rnacentral:rRNA from 2 species
CAACGGGGGAAGAACCAACAGGGAUUGCCCUAGUAACGGCGAGUGAAGCGGCAACAGCUCAAAUUUGAAAUCUGGCCUCUUUGGGGUCCGAGUUGUAAUUUGCAGAGGGCGCUUUGGUGUUGGCAGCGGUCCAAGUUCCUUGGAACAGGACGUCACAGAGGGUGAGAAUCCCGUACGUGGUCGCUAGCCCUCACCGUGUAAAGCCCCUUCGACGAGUCGAGUUGUUUGGGAAUGCAGCUCUAAAUGGGAGGUAAAUUUCUUCUAAAGCUAAAUACUGGCCAGAGACCGAUAGCGCACAAGUAGAGUGAUCGAAAGAUGAAAAGCACUUUGGAAAGAGAGUUAAAAAGCACGUGAAAUUGUUGAAAGGGAAGCGCUUGCAGCCAGACUUGCCUGUAGUUGCUCAUCCGGGUUUUUACCCGGUGCACUCUUCUGCGGGCAGGCCAGCAUCAGUUUGGGCGGUUGGAUAAAGGUCUCUGUCAUGUACCUCUCUUCGGGGAGAACUUAUAGGGGAGACGACAUGCAACCAGCCUGGACUGAGGUCCGCGCAUCUGCUAGGAUGCUGGCGUAAUGGCUGUAAGCGGCCCGUCUUGAAACACGGACCAAGGAGUCUAACAUCUAUGCGAGUGUUUGGGUGUCAAGCCCGAGCGCGUAAUGAAAGUGAACGGAGGUGGGAACCUUUCGGGGUGCACCAUCGACCGAUCCUGAUGUCUUCGGAUGGAUUUGAGUAAGAGCAUAGCUGUUGGGACCCGAAAGAUGGUGAACUAUGCUUGAAUAGGGUGAAGCCAGAGGAAACUCUGGUGGAGGCUCGCAGCGGUUCUGACGUGCAAAUCGAUCGUCAAAUUUGGGCAUAGGGGCGAAAGACUAAUCGAACUAUCUAGUAGCUGGUUCCUGCCGAAGUUCCCUCAGAUAGCAGUAACGUUUCAGUUUUAUGAGGUAAAGCGAAUGAUUAGAGCCUGGGGGUUGAACAACCUUCACCUA